UACGUAGGCAGCGAGCGUUGUUCGGAAUUACUGGGCGUAAAGAGUGUGUAGGCGGUUUUCCAAGUUUGGUGUGAAAUCUCCCGGCUUAACUGGGAGGGUGCGCCGAAAACUGGGAGGCUUGAGUGCCGGAGAGGAUAGCGGAAUUCCUGGUGUAGCGGUGAAAUGCGUAGAUAUCAGGAGGAACACCUGCGGUGUAGACGGCUAUCUGGACGGCCACUGACGCUGAGACACGAAAGCGUGGGUAGCAAACAG
rnacentral:rRNA from 1 species